CACAUAACUGAUUCAAAAUGUAUUUGCUACAAGUUGCAGUCUGUUUCGUUGUUAUCGGAAGCGUUAGCCUAGUAACCACCGCAACAGUAAAAUGGUUUAACCAGUAUAGCCAUGUAUUUCAAAAUAUGAUAUACAGCGAGAGCCAAAUAAUGAAACUCAAGUAUAGUACUGAUGAAAUGCGCAGCUAUCAUCAUUAUUAUUAUCCACUUGGAAAAAUUACGAAAUCCAAAACUUUCUGGACAAAGAUGUCACCAGCACCGAAGUGCUCCGUGGAACAUCAACGGUGGUUAAAUAUCACACGAAUUAAAAGGGCUAAGUGUUCAACUUGCUGUCCUACUAAAUUUUCAGCAACAGCUCCGAUAAAAAUAGAAUACAAAGGUAAAACGUAUAACGUUCAUAAGCCAGCAGGUGGAUGGCAGAUCUUGUUUCUAGGAAAGUGUCCAGUUAGGGCUACCUGUAACUUCGGCCAAUGUCAACCAGAACAUGAUUACCAUACGUGGAUCCUUAUAAAGGAUCCAGAAAUAAACUCUGAACCGAAGAUAAGAUUUGUUCCUGUGUCUUAUCCUAGGUUUUGUAAAUGUGUAAAUAGUUCAUGAUAGCAUUUGGAGAAGAUCGUGUACAUGACUGAUCAACUGUAUUAUGAUUUUCGAGUUAUCUUUCGUAUAGGAAUCAAUGUGCUUCUUGUUUAAGAUAUUUUUAUCGUAUUCUUAUUGUGUCUCAGUGUUUUGUUGAUUAGUUUACAUGUAUUUAUGUAUGUUUCUGCAAUAAAUAUAAAAAUAAGGAGAUGUGGUAUGAUUGCCAAUGAGACAACUAUCCACCAAAGUUCAAAUGAAGUGGAUGUAAGCAAUUAUAGGCAACCGUACGGCCUUCAACAAUAAAGUUUACCUCACCACUUGCGCCCAUUAAAUAGCAGACUUGUUCCUGUAUUGUUAUGAAUCACAGCUUAUGGCAAAACUCAGUAAAUAACCGUCUAAAUUCCGUUUAAUUGAUAAAUUUAAUAAUACUUACCGUUAACUUGAUGAUAAGUUUGCUUUGAAAAAUCAUAAAUUGAUGUCUCUAAUUAUGCUCCGGAAAUUUAAGUAAGGGAAAUUCUUAAAUAAAUGUAACAUAAACAACAAUAAUUGUCCUUUUCUAGACUGGCAAAUUAUUAAGUCAGGGAUUUCGUUACCAUAAAUUACUUAAAUCUUUUACUAAAUUCUUUCAUAUAUUCAGAUUUAGUUUUGAAGUUUGGCUGUACCUGUAAAAUUCUUAUAAAUAAAAGAAGAAUGUGUCUGAGGACACGAAUGCCCCCGCUCAAGUUUCAAACAAUCGAAAAUGGGACGGACGGACGUAAGCACAGAAACGGAAGGACGAACGGUCAAGGAUUUAACACUUAAUGCCCCCGUUGCCUACGGCGGGGGCAUAUUAUAGACGUUACGCACGUUAUUGCGUCAAUACCGUGAAAUAAACCAGGCCACACUGAUAAACAGAUUUUCUAUAUGAUUAAAACAGUUAAGCUAUAUUAAAUGUAUAUCCAAAGACUAGGCAGGUAUUACUGUUUCCAAAAAAUCAACAAAUUGUUUUAUAAUAUUUUACAAUGAUCUAAAAUAAGGACAAAAAUAUUGGCAAAACGUCAAAAAUAUGUGUGUCAGAUGUAACAGACUAUACGCAUAACAAUUUGAUAGGGGUGUUUGUGCUCUUUGAAACAGUGUAAAAUCUGCGAAAAUUCGCAUGAAUAUUAUGCGUCAUAUAUAAAGUAUUACGUUAUAACUGAAUUUGCGUUGAUGCAAAGGCCAAAACUAAUUUUUUGCAAAAAUAAAUAGUCUUCAUCAUGGUCAGAUUUCGGAAAAUGGUAAAAUAUCAAAAUUUAUAGGUUCUUAAAAUAUAAAAUUAUAUGAAAUUUCGUUUUCAUAAAUCAUGCUCACAAAAGUACAUAGAUAGACCAUUUGAAAACUAAAUUUGUACAGCACUCACACCACAAAUAAAAAUGCAACGGCUUAUGGCAAAUGUCUUGCAAGAAUGUCCAGUGUCGAAUUUCGCCGCUUUUUACACGUAAACUGUCAGUUGCGAAGUCAUUUAUUAAAAAAUCGAUUUGUUGCAAAGAAAAUGGUGCUUUUCCGUAAUUGUACUUUAAUCCUUCAAAAUAGUUACAUACUUUUUGAUAAUUUGCGUAGUCAAAACGACUUCGUUUUUAAACAAAUCCCAUGUCUUGCAAGUUUGUCCACUGAAGGAUUUUCUUACGUUUUUAACGUUGUCGAUUCGGGACGAUAAAAACUAAAUCGAAAUUUUUGUUAGUUUAGUGUUUCGUUGUUUAACGCAACUUUUAUCGCCCUUGGUUGUAUCAUAUCGGACAGUUUUCUAUGGUAGAGGAAGUCAGAGAACCUUUGUUGUAAUAUGAAUUGUAAACCCGUAGAACAGACUCGCAAAAUACACCAAAUAAUUUCAACAAAUUUUGUAGCAAAUCUUCUUGUCCGAGACUUAUCAUUUUACAAUUGUGAUAACUGAUUUUAAGGAGCAAUAAACGAUUGCGAGAAAACGCAAUUUAUAGGAAAUUUCAAAAAGGUAAAAAUGAUUCAAAAUUCCGAAAGAAAAAUGAUGACCAUUGUGAUACAAAUUAUAAUAUAAUCGAAGACAUUGUUGAAAAGGACAUGAUAAUUGCUGUUUUGGUAGACGAUAUAGAUUAUGAGUAGUAAUAGUAUCAAAAAGACCACAAACUAUAACAGAAAUAUUUCCGAUGACUGGGGUUGUUUAUUUAAGUUGUGACAAGGCUGUAUUACGAGAGGAUAACAAAUCAGUCAUUUAUUUUCAAAUUUGUGAGGCGUAAAACUGCGAUUUGUUAUUUCUCUGCAAUACGAUUCAUAUGAAUAGAAAUUGCAAGUAAAAAUCAAAUUGUUGUGCCUGAAGAGUUACACCUCGAUAUCAUACAAAGCUAGUGAGCUUAUGGGAUGAAUAUAACUAUUUUUAUCUGACAAUAGUUUUAUUUCUUAAUUCAAUUGUUCCGUUAUUAAAAAAAGUGUACUUUUUAAGUAAGACGUUUUUAACCUGUAAC